GAGUUUGAUCGUGGCUCAGGACGAACGCUGGCGGCGUGCCUAAUACAUGCAAGUCGAGCGGAUCUUCAUUAGCUUGCUUUUGAAGAUCAGCGGCGGACGGGUGAGUAACACGUGGGCAACCUGCCUGUAAGACUGGGAUAACUUCGGGAAACCGGAGCUAAUACCGGAUAAUCCUUUUCCUCUCAUGAGGAAAAGCUGAAAGACGGUUUCGGCUGUCACUUACAGAUGGGCCCGCGGCGCAUUAGCUAGUUGGUGAGGUAACGGCUCACCAAGGCGACGAUGCGUAGCCGACCUGAGAGGGUGAUCGGCCACACUGGGACUGAGACACGGCCCAGACUCCUACGGGAGGCAGCAGUAGGGAAUCUUCCGCAAUGGACGAAAGUCUGACGGAGCAACGCCGCGUGAGCGAUGAAGGCCUUGGUCGU
rnacentral:rRNA from 1 species